rnacentral:rRNA from 2 species
AUAUUAAGGGUAUAUGGUGGAUGCCUAGACUUGAAAAGCCGAUGAAGGACGUAGCAGCCUGCGAUAAGCUCCGGGGAGGCGGCAAGCAACCUUUGAUCCGGAGAUGUCCGAAUGGGGAAACCCAAUGUCGCUAAAUAAGCGGUAUUGUUCGUUCUUGUUGAACGAAAGUUAGACAUGAACGAAUGGGAACCUGGGGAAUUGAAACAUCUUAGUACCCGGAGGAAAAUAAAUCGAAUGAGAUUCCCUAAGUAGUGGCGAGCGAAAGGGGAAAAUUUCGUUUCUUGCUUUUGUAAGAGACGGAACGCCCAAACCGUGUUGACAUGACCAUCUGGUGAAGCGCCGAGCAAUCGGCGUGUAGCUAUGUGAGAAACGGGUGCAAGCUCAAUAUGUCUGCGCGGGGUAAUGAGAAAGUACUUUUUUUCUUCUUGCAGAGAAAGAAUAAGGCAAAUGCGUACUUGUGACUUCGGUGGGCAUCAUCAUGCUUGAUGGUACCUGCUCGUCAUGCGUACUCCAAUUACUAGCGGAAUCCACUGGAAAGUGGAGCCAUAGAACGUGAUAGCCGCGUACGCGAAAGUAAUCAAACCUUAUUGUAUUUUUCUCGAGUAACAUAGGACCCGUGAAAUCCUGUGUGAAGGUGUCCCGACUACGGGAUAAGGCUAAAUACUUUUCAAGAUCGAUAGUGAACAAGUACCGUGAGGGAAAGGUGAAAAGCACCCCGAAAGGGGAAUGAAAUAGUUUCUGAAACCAUAUACUUACAACAAGUCAGAGCCCGUCCAACCCGCAAGGGAGUGGGUGGGUGAUGGCGUUCCUAUUGAAGAAUGAGCCAACGAGUUCUCUCAACCAUGUACGGUUAAGCCCGAUAGGGCGGAGCCAUAGUGAAAGCGAGCGUUAAAAGCGCGCGUCCAGUCUUUAUGACUGGACAUAUAUGGUGAGAGAGACCCGAAACCGGGUGAUCUAGCCAUGGCCAGGGUGAGUCCAGAGUAAAAUCUGGAGGAGGCCCGAACGCACCAGCCGUGCAACACUGGGCGAUGAGCUGUGGCUAGCGGAGAAAUUCCAAUCGAACUCGGCAAUAGCUGGUUCUCCCCGAAACAGUUUUAGGACUGGCUCCGUAUUCAGCCCCAAGGGGUAGAGCACUGGAUGGAGAAGGGUGGCGCAAGCCUACCUUUUCUAAUCAAACUCCGAAUACUUGGGAUCCGCUCUUGAUCUAAAAUCAAGAAGGUAACGGAUACGGAAGUUAGAGCAUGGGGGCUAAGCUCCAUCGCUCAAAAGGGAAACAGCCCAGACCUUAAUCUAAGGUCCCAAAGUGCGUGUUAAGUGUAAAAGGAAGUGAGGCGACGAAGACAACCAGGAGGUUGGCUUAGAAGCAGCCAUCCUUUAAAGAAAGCGUAACAGCUCACUGGUCAAGUUUCUUUGCGCCGAAAAUGUACCGGGGCUCAAACACGCCACCGAAGAUAAGGAUCAUUCCGAUUAUAUCGGAGUGGUGGUAGGGGAGCGUUCUUUAUGCAGCGAAGCUUUGAUGUGAAUUAAGGUGGAGCGUAAAGAAGUGAGAAUGUUGGCAUGAGUAGCAGAAAACACGGUGAAAAUCCGUGACACCGAAAGCCUAAGGUUUCCUGGGCCACGAUGAUCGUCCCAGGGUUAGGCGGCCCUAAGUGUGCCUCAUUUUUGAGGCAUGCGAUGGACAGCAGGUUAAUAUUCCUGCUCUUCAGUACGUUUUCGUUUUACUGACGCAUCAUAAAGGUUUUGGCGUGUUUUGGUUAUACACGUUUCCGGCGCAAGUCGGGACAAGGCAAAGCUCUCGGGCUCAAGCCAAGCAGAGUUUGAGUGGUGCCAAGAAAAGGUAAAACGAGUUAAACGUGCUGGAUCCGUACCGCAAACCGACACAGGUAGGCGGGAUGAGAAUUCUAAGGUGAACGAGACAACUCUGGUUUAGGAACUCGGCAAAACAACGGCCGUAACUUCGGGAUAAGGCCUCCCCCCAAAGCUUGCAAGAGUGAAGGGGGGCGCAGUAAACGAUCUCAGGCGACUGUUUACCAAAAACACAGGUCCCUGCUCAAACCGAAAGGUGAGGUAUAGGGGCUGACCCCUGGCCAGUGUCCGAAGGUUAAGGGGAUGGGUGAUUUCCGACGCAAGUCGGGAUGAGCCUUGAACUGAAGCCCGGAUGAACGCCGGCGAUAACUAUAAUCGUCCUAAGGUAGCGAAAUUCCUUGUCGGGUAAGUUCCGACCCGCACGAAUGGGGUAACGGUCUGAGAACUCUCUCAACCAGGGACUCGGCGAAAUUUCAUAAGUAGUGAAGAUGCUACUUACCCGCGGCUAGACGAAAAGACCCCGUGAAGCUUUACUACAACCUGGUAUUGAAGUACGGAAUGCGCUGUUUAGCAUAGGUGGGAGGCUUUGAGUCCGGAUCGCCAGAUUCGGAGGAGCCGACAGUGAAAUACCACCCUGUGAGUUUUGUGCAUCUAAUCCUGAUGUAAAUCAGGAAACAGUAUCAGGCGGGUAGUUUAUCUGGGGCGGAUGCCUCCAAAAAAGUAACGGAGGCGCUCAAAGGUUGGCUUAGCUCGGAUGGAAAUCGAGCUUUAACGCGCAAAGGCAUAAGCCAGCUUUACUGCGAGAGGGACAACUCGAGCAGUCGCGAAAGCGGGACUUAGUGAACCGAUGCGCCCAUGUAGGAGGCGCAAAGAUCAACGGAUAAAAGUUACUCCGGGGAUAACAGGCUGAUCUCCUCCAAGAGUCCACAUCGACGAGGAGGUUUGGCACCUCGAUGUCGGCCCGUCGCAUCCUGGGGGUGAAGAAGCUCCCAAGGGUUUGGCUGUUCGCCAAUUAAAGCGGCACGCGAGCUGGGUUCAGAACGUCGUAAGACAGUUCGGUCUCCUAUCUGUCGCGGGCGUAAAGAUUUGAGGGGGCGCUUCCCUAGUACGAGAGGACCGGGAAGCACGAACCUCUGGUGUACCAGUUGUUCCACCAGGAGCAUUGCUGGGUAGCUACGUUCGGUUAGGAUAAGCGCUGAAAGCAUCUAAGCGCGAAGCCGUCCCCAAGAUUAGAUCUUAGAAAUCCUUCAAGAUUAGAAGGUUGAUAGGCUCUAGGUGGAAGCUCCGCAAGGAGUGUAGCCGAGGAGUACUAAUCAU